UGGGGAAUAUUGCACAAUGGGCGCAAGCCUGAUGCAGCAACGCCGCGUGAACGAUGAAGGUCUUCGGAUCGUAAAGUUCUGUUGCAGGGGAAGAUAAUGACGGUACCCUGUGAGGAAGCCCCGGCUAACUACGUGCCAGCAGCCGCGGUAAUACGUAGGGGGCUAGCGUUAUCCGGAUUUACUGGGCGUAAAGGGUGCGUAGGUGGUCUUUCAAGUCGGUGGUUAAAGGCUACGGCUCAACCGUAGUUAGCCUCCGAAACUGGAAGACUUGAGUGCAGGAGAUGAAAGUGGAAUUCCCAGUGUAGCGGUGAAAUGCGUAGAUAUUGGGAGGAACACCAGUAGCGAAGGCGGCUUUCUGGACUGCAACUGACACUGAGGCACGAAAGCGUGGGUAGCAAACAGG
rnacentral:rRNA from 1 species